CGGGAGACGAAACUAUGGGUCCAGGUCUUACCUGACCCCUGAUACGGAUGCCACCCGUACCACACUGCGGGCUAUCUCUGGGUAUCCGAUGGAUCGGGUUGUUGAUGAGAUUGGACAGAAUCUAAGCAACGUGAGUGACCUUUUCUCUUUUAGUUAUUUUUAUGAGCGUGUUCUUACUUAUUCAUUCUUUUUGCAGCUUAACCAUUUGUUCCAGGGCCGCAUCUCUUCUCUAUCUCAUCUUCGUGACUCCCAGUCCAUGGAAGAUGAGUUGAAGAGAAUGAAGCGCCUGUGCAGAGACUUGGAAGGUGAGGUUGCCCAGAAGAUUUCAGACGCCUCAACCUUGUCUGAGACUAAUAAAAAGUUGGCUAAUGACUGGGCUGCUCAAAGAAACUCUCUGAAACAAAAAGAGCAGGACAUCUCUCAGCUUAGGGGAGAGUUGGGGGCUGCGAGGUUGGAACUUGCAGCUGAACGUGCCAAG
rnacentral:lncRNA from 1 species